CUCUGGCUCAUUGUUAUCCCUGUUUUAUUGAGGAGUUCUCUUAUAACCCUGCUGCUUUCUCUGUGUGUGGCAGGCUUCUCCGAGGAAGACGAGGCACAGGGACAAAAGGAAGAAACCGAAAGGUUUUGGACGCUGUGAGGAGGAUUUGGAGGAGGCUUGUGCACGCCUAGAGGCAUGCUGCCGCAUGCACCUGGAGAAGCUCCCCUUGGCUCACACCCUCAGGAUCGUUGAGAGGAGGAUAGAGUACGUGGACAGACACCUGGAUGAAGUUCUGAUACCGCCAAGUGUGACGACAUCUGCGGCGAGCCAGUUCUCCUAUUCCUCUAUGGAAUCCAUCCCCUCUUCCCUCUGGAGUCACAGCUCCUUUUCCCUGGCAGAAGUCUCCGUGACUCAAUCAGAGCCCCUCUGCCACACAAGGGAGAUCACGCCUGUCGCGGGCUGGGAAGGAUCCACUCAUCCCAUCCAAGCCCAGCCUCUCCCCAGGCCUCCUGCCCACAGCAGAUAAGACCGGCGAGAGCAGACCACGGGUCUGGACCAGACGUCAGCCCCUGGCUCAGACUUCAACAUCCGACAGAAGCAUCUGCAGAGCCAACUGGGGGAACCUACCCUAUCCACUGAGUCGCUGGCCAAGGUGAUCCCUAACGCCCCUGCUCUACGCCCACUGGACAGAGACCCCAGGGUGAAGUUCAACAUGAGCAGGGGCCUUUUCCUAAGCGUUGAAGUCCGGGAGGAGCUGGACUGUCACGUGCACUCAAAGAGACUCCAGCACGAGCAGGGCUUACCCCUCACCCCCCAGAAACCCCACACAGCUCUUCUGCCUCCAGCUCCACAAACCUCCAUCCUGGGGGAGCCAUUGCUGGGGGAGCGGGACACCAAACAGCAAUGGGAAUUCAAGCUGCAGGAUCACGUGGCUCAGAAAUGCUCAGAGAUCCAAAUGAUGGCGUUUCCUAAGAUGGUGGGAGAGUCGC